rnacentral:rRNA from 1 species
GACGAACGCUGGCGGCGUGCUUAACACAUGCAAGUCGAACGGAAAGGCCCUGCUUGCAGGGUGCUCGAGUGGCGAACGGGUGAGUAACACGUGGGUGAUCUGCCCCUUACUUUGGGAUAAGCCUGGGAAACUGGGUCUAAUACUGGAUAGGACCAUGCUGUAGGUGGUGUGGUGGAAAGAUUAGUUUCGGUAAGGGAUGAGCUCGCGGCCUAUCAGCUUGUUGGUGGGGUAAUGGCCUACCAAGGCGUCGACGGGUAGCCGGCCUGAGAGGGUGGACGGCCACAUUGGGACUGAGAUACGGCCCAGACUCCUACGGGAGGCAGCAGUGGGGAAUAUUGCACCAUGGGCGCAGGCCUGAUGCAGCGACGCCGCGUGGGGGAUGACGGCCUUCGGGUUGUAAACUCCUUUCAGCCAUGACGAAGCCCUUGUGGUGACGGUAGUGGUAGAAGAAGCACCGGCUAACUACGUG